rnacentral:rRNA from 1 species
AUGGAGACUGUCCUCCACAACCACGCCCUCCACCCGCGCGUGCCGCAGCCGCUGCUCCUCCACGGGCCCCGCGGCGUCGGCAAGUCCACGCUCCUCCUCAACCGCCUCCUCCCUCAGUGGUCCGAGCCCCCGCACUACGCCGCCGUCGUCGACUUCCUCCACCCCUCUCCCAGUUCCCCCGCUCAUGCGCCCUGGUCUCUCCUCUCAGACACGCCCCCCUCCCUGCCCUCCCUCCGCCUCCGGCUCGAGUCCGCGCUGGAGGAACUCACCCGCGCCGCAGUACUCCGAGGUGCCGUCGGUUCCAACGACGUGCUCGCCGCGCUCUCGCGGUCCCACGGCCUCCACACCAUGCUCUCUCGCCUCGCGGGCCCUGCCUCCCGCCGCGGCCAGGGCACUAACUCGGUUCCGGUGCUCUGGGCAAGGGCUGUCCUAGCUGCAACCUCCUCGGCCCGUGGUGACGACCCCACCUUCCGCAUUGGCGAGGGGGAGGCAACGAACUGCUCCAUGGAGGAGAGGGCGUACAUGCAGGAGGCCAUGGCGGCGCUGCGUGUGGCCAAGGAAGUUCUCGGGAUGCAGGAGGGGUGGAGGAAGGAGGCGGUGCGGGAGAUGAAUAGGACAGGCCGGUUCUCCCGUCCACUGGCCAAUUCAGCCACAGACUGGCCAUGCCUCCUGCUAGAUGUGUUGUCAGGCGCAGCCGAGGAGGAUUUUUUCCAGCCAAAGUUGGUGCUGAACAACGUUGAUGCCCUGAGGAAGGCGACAUGCGAGGACGAUACAAUGGUACCCGCAGCAGUGUACCAUGACAGCUUCAUUUGGAGGGUGAUAGCACUUGGUGCUAAUGAACAGUGCUUACCGGUCAUUAUGUCCACCUCAGAUGGAUAUUAUUCUUCCCAAGCAUUCGUCGAUUUUGGUUUUCCUAACAUCUUCAUUUCUCGUGAGACGUUUGGUUGGACACCACAAGAAGCUAAGCUGCAUAUGGUUUCUGAGUUCUUCAGUGAACAGGAGUGGAAAGUCGUUGAUGAGCUUCUUGGACCAAACCCACGACAAUUAUGUGAGAUAUAUAUGCUAAAGCAAAAGGCGAAUGGCCCAGAGGUUUUGCAUGACACAAACAUUGAGGAAAUUAUUGACACAUACCUGGCACACUUGCAAGUAUCUGUUGUGAAUCCCGCAAUGCAAACAGCAUUAAGUAUGGUGCAGAAGUUUGCUUCUGAUGUACGCGAGGGUAAAGUACCAGAGAACAGAUUGUCUUUUGGCGCACCUUGGAGACAUCCACCUCGGGCUGACAAUCCUGACAUGUGCUAUAAGUGGGCAAAGAUUCAACUGAUGGAUUUUGUCCAGUCUUAUGUAAACACAGAAUUUGGGUUGAAUUACCUAGCAGAUGAUAGCCUGGAAAUAUUGGAUGAUCCUGCAGCAGUCGCCAUGAUGGAGGUUGGCUUACUUUAUCAACAGAGAGAUCCAUCCUUUGUGCGACCAAUCACACGUGGGAUUCAGCGUUGUCUUGCUAGAUGGUGCGUUCUUGUACUUAUGUGGUACUGUAAAUGUUUUGUUUCUUAUGGCACUUUUUUUGUGGUUAUGCGAAGGCUUGUUCAGCAGAGACUAGAGUUGACCCUUCAAGAAUCAAUAUCAUUCUCAUGGCAACGUGUAAUUCGUGGGCGAAGCUAUCGACACUUGAUGAAGGAAGUCGGCUACAAGUAA